CCUACGGGGGGCAGCAGUGGGGAAUAUUGGACAAUGGGGGCAACCCUGAUCCAGCCAUGCCGCGUGUGUGAAGAAGGCCCUCGGGUUGUAAAGCACGUUCAGUGAGGAAGAACGCCUGGUGGUUAAUACCCAUCAGGAAAGACAUCACUCACAGAAGAAGCACCGGCUAACUCCGUGCCAGCAGCCGCGGUAAUACGGAGGGUGCGAGCGUUAAUCGGAAUUACUGGGCGUAAAGCGCGCGUAGGUGGCUUGAUAAGCCGGUUGUGAAAGCCCCGGGCUCAACCUGGGAACGGCAUCCGGAACUGUCAAGCUAGAGUGCAGGAGAGGUAGGUGGAAUUCCCGGUGUAGCGGUGAAAUGCGUAGAGAUCGGGAGGAAUACCAGUGGCGAAGGCGGCCUUCUGGACUGACACUGACACUGAGGUGCGAAAGUGUGGGUAGCAAACAGGAUUAGAUACACUAGUAGUC
rnacentral:rRNA from 1 species